GGGGUUCCGAGGGGCUGAAGCGGUGCAGUUUGGGUUGGUUUCCUCGGGCUCGGGAGGGAGGACGAUCCAAGGGGAGGGCGUGAUGGGGUAGCCAGCCGCCGGUAUAGCAGGACCCGGCUUCUCUAUAGCUGGUCCUUGCUUUUGUGAGUUCUAUCUUCUGGAUGCUUGUCUCGCCGCAUCCAUAUAGCAGGUCCCAGCUAAUGUUUCAGCAGGGCUCCCUAGUAGGCCCUAACUCACUAAUAACAGGCCCCAACUUGUAGUAGAUUCCUGUUUAUGAAUUGUUAAUAUUAUCAUUACUUCCUCCUGUAAGUCCUCCUCUGCUUAUGCAUAUAUAUCAUAGCCCUGCUUCCGAGUAGCAGGUUCUCCUUUCUUUGUAGUAGACCCCAACUCACUUAUAGUAAGUCUCUGCUUAUGUAUCCUACAUUUCUGUUUCUGUAUAACAGCUGAUUUUCCUAUAGAGUAGGACCAUUAGCUGGCUAGAAACAGCUAGAUGGCUCUGUAGAUAAAAAGCUGGAACUGGAGUCAAGACCUGAGUUCAAACCCAGCCUCAAUUUAUUGGCUGUGUGACCCCAGACAAGUCACUUAACUUCUGCCUGCCUCGGUAUCCUCCCCUGUAUAAUGAGAUAAUAGCAUUUAUCUCCUGGGUUUCUCUGAGGAUAAGAAUUAAUAUUUGUUAAAACACUUUGCAUUAUCAUUGUAGUUCAAAGUGGAGGUCUCUUAGUUCUGCUUUCCCUACCCCAGCCAUGUGUCUCUUUAUUCCUUCCUCGGUGUUUCUAUCUCUUGCUUUUUGCUCUCUGCCUCUCUAUAUUUCCUGUGAUCACUCCUCCUUGGAUUAGAUGGGCUAGAAUAUUGGGAUUUCAGAAUAUUGGAAUAUCUGAAAUUACAUGGAAUUCUGGGAAGAAAGGAGUCAGAAAUAACAGCCAAAAAGGAGAGGGAGAUAACAAAGGAAUGCUAUAGGAAGGAACAAAGAAUAGAUAAAGGCAGAGAGCUAUAUGGCCAGAAUACAGAAUAAAAGAGAGAAGGACAAAAAUUGAAGGAAAGAGAGGCUUACUGUGCACAAAGGAGAGGAACAAGAGUCUUAACUCUUCACUCUCUUUGGAAGGCAGAGGGAGUUGGAGAAAUAAGAUGGAUGAGAGCUGGAAAGUUGGAAAGUCUGGUCCAAUUCCCUGAUUUUCGCAAUGGGGAACCAGACCCAAUAAGAGAAUAUGCCAACGUUCUAUGGUCUUCAUUCUCUCCCAACUCUGACCUUCUGUUCCAUGUUCUCAGUAUACCUUUAGUCUUGACAUUCUGCAUUCACUUUUCUGCUUUGGCUAGUUGUAAUGAUGAUUUCAAUAGUUGGUAUGAAUAGCACUUCAAAGUUUGCAGAGAACUUUACAAAUAUUAUUUCAUUUGAUCCUCAGGACAGGUACUAUGAUUAUCUCCAUUUUUCAGAAGCAAAUAGGUUAAGUGAUUGGCCCAGGUCAUACAGCUGGUCAAGUCAGCAUGGAUCAGCCAUCAGGGCUUCAGGUGGACUAUACCUUCCGGGGGGUGGAGCAUGUCGUCCGCUUGGCUGUCAGUGGGGAGGUUCUGGAGCUUGAGGUGGAGGACAGACUGACCACUGACCAGUGGCGUGGAGAGUUCGAUUCUGCUUUCAUUGAAGACUUGACCCACAAGACUGGCAACUUCAAACAGUUUAGCAUCUUCUGCAGCAUGCUGGAGUCGGCCCUUAUGCAGAGCAGCGAGUCAGUCACCCUGGAUCUACUGACCUACACAGACCUCGAGGCCCUUCGGCACCGCAAGGUGGGGCCCCGGCCCGGGCCCUCAGCCCCACGCUCAGCUCAGCUCAACUCCAAGCGUUACCUCAUCCUGAUCUACUCAGUUGAGUUUGACAGAAUCCAUUACCCACUGCCCCUGCCAUACCAGGGCAAGCCGGACCCUGUGGUUCUUCAGGGCAUCAUUCGGUCCCUGAAGGAGGAGCUGGCGGAGCUGCGGUCCCGGGGCGGCCGGGAUGCUGAAAUUCGCCACCUUCGGGAGCAGCUGACCCGGGCAGUAAGUGAGAAGAGAGAGCUGGAGGUCGCCCUGGACCGGGCCCGAGAAGAAGCAGGAGGCCGGGCCACGACUCACCAGGAGGUGGCUGUGCUCAAAACCAUGGUGGCCAACCUGGAAGAAGAACUGAGACGGGAGCGGGGCCAGCAUCACCGGACGGCCGGGCGGCGGGGCCAGGAGUGCCGGCGCCUGACCCAAGAGCUGGAAGAGGUGAAGUCGUCGGAGCGGAGCCUCCGGGCCAGGCUGAAGUGCCUGUCCAGCGAGCUGGCCCUGUACAAGCGAGGGAGGCGGACCCCAUCUUCAGGACAGGUGUCUCAGCCCCGAAAGGAGCAGCGGCGGACCAUGUCUCAGGAGAGGAGCCUGUCCUGGGGCCGAGUGCCCCCCCGCUCCUCAUCCCAGGAAAGCAGCCGGGGUCGCAGGCCUUCCCGGCCCUCUCCAUCCCCGCCAGGCAUCCGGGCGCCCCGCUUUGACCCCACUGCCUUUGUAAAGGCCAAAGAGCGAAAGCAGAGGGAGCUCAAGUUGAAAAACCAGCAAAGGAACCGGCUAGGGACCGGGGAAGGCUCGGGGAGCUGGGGCCGCAGCCGGACCCGUGGUUCGUGCCAGAUGUCUCGAGAGGAAAGGGCCCCCAGGAGCCGGACACGAAGCUCCUCGGGUAAGGGAGGCCUGGACAUCCGGGUCCUCCAGGAGUUAUCCAGGCUACGGCUGGGCCAUCAGUGAGGGGCCUGGGCUUUCCUUCCCGUCCCCCCAGUGGAGAGCUUUCGGAGCCGUCACUCAUCGCUCAGUUCAGCCAGUGAAUUUGAGGAUUUCUCCAACGCAACUUCGCGAGGCCUUCGGAGGCAGCCCCGAGGUCGGAAGCCCCUGAGCCCCUCCUCCUGGAAUGGCUCUGCAGAG